ACACAACACAGACAACAUGAAUGAACAUAGCCAUACACCUCAGUCCUUCAAAAACUGUAACUGUGCUAAAUUCAGAGUCAGAUGUGAGUACUCUCCCUUUAAACUCAUCCAACCAGAAUCAAUUUGACCUGAGUGAGUGAUGUUUGCCACUCUCCAUAGUCAGCAAACAAAAAUUAAGAGUCAUAGACUUCACAUGCAAGACACUUUUAACAGUUUUCAUUAUGGGGAUACUCUAAAAUUCAAAGAAUGGCUAACGGAUUUACCCAUGACGGAGAAUACUGCUGUUUAUCUUGGUACACAUGAGGAUACUUCACUCAAUAACCCAAGAGUAUGCUACUCGUGGCCGCUGGGGGACACCUCCUGCAAGGUGUACCAGUUCUUUCUGGCCUUCUCCCUGGCAGCCAGCACCUACAGCCUGUGUGCCGUGUCCAUGACACGCGCCAUGAUCAUAACCAACCCCUACCGCCCUCCUACCAUGGACCUGGUGGUCCUGAUGUUCGUCUUGGUCUGGGCAUCAGCCUUCUUCAUCAGUCUGCCUCUGAGGAUCUUCGCCACCAAGGAGAGCCUGGGCCCCGGCUUGGGUAAUUUUACAUUCUGCCUGCCCACCAUACAGGAACACCACUAUCAGGUAACAAUGGCUUGGUCUGAAAUUGUACUCUGUUUGCUAUAUAGUGCACAUCUUUUGACCUGGUGUACUAGAGGGAAUAGGGUGCCAUUUGAGAUGCACACCAUGUGUAACAAAAGGUAUUAUGUUUAG
rnacentral:lncRNA from 8 species